AGUGAACGCUGGCGGCAGGCCUAACACAUGCAAGUCGAGCGGCAGCGCGGGGGCAACCCUGGCGGCGAGCGGCGGACGGGUGAGGAAUGCAUCGGAAUCUACCUCGUUGUGGGGGAUAACGUAGGGAAACUUACGCUAAUACCGCAUACGACCUACGGGUGAAAGUGGGGGACCUUCGGGCCUCACGCGAUGAGAUGAGCCGAUGCCGGAUUAGCUAGUUGGCGGGGUAAAGGCCCACCAAGGCGACGAUCCGUAGCUGGUCUGAGAGGAUGAUCAGCCACACUGGAACUGAGACACGGUCCAGACUCCUACGGGAGGCAGCAGUGGGGAAUAUUGGACAAUGGGCGCAAGCCUGAUCCAGCCAUGCCGCGUGUGUGAAGAAGGCC
rnacentral:rRNA from 1 species